CGGGGUGCACCAGGCGCGAAAACUUUACAAUGCGGGAAACCGUGAUAAGGGGACACCGAGUGCCAGCAUCAUAUGCUGGCUGUCCAGAUGUGUAAAAUACAUCUGUUAGCAAGGGCCGGGCAAGACCGGUGCCAGCCGCCGCGGUAACACCGGCGGCCCGAGUGGUGAUCGUGAUUAUUGGGUCUAAAGGGUCCGUAGCCGGUUUGGUCAGUCCUCCGGGAAAUCUGAUAGCUCAACUAUUAGGCUUUCGGGGGAUACUGCCAGACUUGGAACCGGGAGAGGUAAGAGGUACUACAGGGGUAGGAGUGAAAUCUUGUAAUCCCUGUGGGACCACCUGUGGCGAAGGCGUCUUACCAGAACGGGUUCGACGGUGAGGGACGAAAGCUGGGGGCACGAACCGGAUUAGAUACCCGGGUAGUCCCAGCCGUAAACGAUGCUCGCUAGGUGUCAGACAUGGCGCGACCGUGUCUGGUGCCGCAGGGAAGCCGUGAAGCGAGCCACCUGGGAAGUACGGCCGCAAGGCUGAAACUUAAAGGAAUUGGCGGGGGAGCACAAGGGCGAAUCGCG
rnacentral:rRNA from 1 species